AGUGGAAAGGCCCCUAUAGAAGCUAGAAGUAACCUCUAGUAGUCUAGUAGUCGGCCUAACCAAAGCAAAGCGUCACGACAACAGAAAAUUACCCUUCUGAAUGGAAUCUAAAGUAGGGGGCUUAGCCGCCCGCCUACCAAUCAAAGAGGCUGAGAGUAAGCGUAAGCUCUUCGAGCUUCCCUUCAUUCGCUUCGCGGGAGCCGCACAACACAUAGCUGGCUUUCAGAGGGCCCAUACUACCUGCC
rnacentral:lncRNA from 1 species